UACGUAGGGUGCAAGCGUUGUCCGGAAUUAUUGGGCGUAAAGAGCUCGUAGGCGGUUUGUUGCGUCGGCUGUGAAAACUCGAGGCUCAACCUCGGGCUUGCAGUGGGUACGGGCAGACUAGAGUGCGGUAGGGGUGACUGGAAUUCUUGGUGUAGCGGUGAAAUGCGUAGAUAUCAAGAGGAACACCUGCGGCGAAGGCGGGUUGCUGGGCCGACACUGACGCUGAGGCGCGAAAGCUAGGGGGAGCGAACGGG
rnacentral:rRNA from 1 species